UGGCUCAGAACGAACGCUGGCGGCGUGCUUAACACAUGCAAGUCGAACGCGAAAGGGACUUCGGUCCUGAGUAAAGUGGCGCACGGGUGAGUAACGCGUAGAUAACCUGUCUUCAUGUCUGGAAUAAUACGCCGAAAGGGGUACUAAUACCGGAUAUUCUUGCUUUUCAUAAGUUAUGCAAGCAAAGGUGGCCUCUGCAUAUGCUACUGCAUGAAGAGGGGUCUGCGUACCAUUAGCUAGUAGGUGGGGUAAUGGCCUACCUAGGCGACGAUGGUUAGCGGGUCUGAGAGGAUGAUCCGCCACACUGGCACUGGAACACGGGCCAGACUCCUACGGGAGGCAGCAGUGAGGAAUAUUGCGCAAUGGGGGAAACCCUGACGCAGCGACGCCGCGUGAGUGAGGAAGGCCUUCGGGUCGUAAAGCUCUGUCAAGAGGAAAGAAGUGUACAAUGGCUAAUACCUGUUGUAUUUGACGGUACCUCUAAAGGAAGCACCGGCUAACUCCGUGCCAGCCGCCGC
rnacentral:rRNA from 1 species